GAACAGCAUGUGGUGAAGGUGGUGAAGAGCCUGGCCCCUCAGGAUGAGGGGUUCACAGCUAAGGGGUUGCCUUGCAUCUCAAAGAAGACUUUGGACUUGGACUUUUCAGCAAUGCUGAAACUGUUAAGACUUUGAUGACUCAGUUGGUUGAAUCCAUGGAUGAAGAACAUGGAUAUGGAGGGUCAGCUACACUUAUCUUUUGGAGAUAGGUCCUGAAGUACAUGUGGAUAAAAUAAUAUGAUGUCUAGAACUGGCUUCAAAAUCAUCCAGGAGAGAAGGUCUUCAUGAGAUGUGAUAAAAAAUACACUGAAUCGUGCUGCUGAGUGCCAUCUAAUGGAAAGGCAGGCUCAAAAAAGCUUUAUGGUGUGCCCUCAUCUGCCUUAUUCACUGGAUCUGACAUCAUGCUACUUCACCAAAGUCAAAAUGGCUACGAAAGGUCAACAUUUAAGUGAAUUUGGGACAUUGAGGCAGCUGCCUCGGGUCAACUAAAGAUUCGCAUGGAAGAGUACUUCCAGAACUGCUUCAGAAAGUGGAAGAAUGAUGGGAUAAGG
ensembl:lncRNA